UGAGGAAUAUUGGUCAAUGGACGCAAGUCUGAACCAGCCAAGUAGCGUGCAGGAUGACGGCCCUCCGGGUUGUAAACUGCUUUUAGUUGGGAAUAAAAAGAGGGACGUGUCCCUCAUUGUAUGUACCUUCAGAAAAAGGACCGGCUAAUUCCGUGCCAGCAGCCGCGGUAAUACGGAAGGUCCAGGCGUUAUCCGGAUUUAUUGGGUUUAAAGGGAGCGUAGGCGGAUUAUUAAGUCAGUGGUGAAAGACGGUGGCUCAACCAUCGUUGGCCAUGGAAACUGGUAGUCUGGAGUGCAGAGAGGGAUGCUGGAACUCGUGGUGUAGCGGUGAAAUGCUUAGAUAUCACGAUGAACUCCGAUCGCGAAGGCAGGUGUCCGGGCUGCAACUGACGCUGAGGCUCGAAAGUGUGGGUAUCAAACAGG
rnacentral:rRNA from 1 species